UAAGGAGGAUGCAAGCGUUAUCCGGAAUUAUUGGGCGUAAAGCGUCCGUAGGCGGCCUUUCAAGUCUGCUGUUAAAGCGUGCAGCUUAACUGCAUAAGGGCAGUGGAAACUGAGAGGCUAGAGUGUAGUAGGGGUAGAGGGAAUUCCCAGUGUAGCGGUGAAAUGCGUAGAUAUUGGGAAGAACACCGGUGGCGAAAGCGCUCUACUGGGCUACAACUGACGCUGAUGGACGAAAGCUAGGGGAGCGAAAGGG
rnacentral:rRNA from 1 species